rnacentral:rRNA from 1 species
GACGAACGCUGGCGGCGUGCUUAACACAUGCAAGUCGAACGAGACGAUUGAAAGCUUGCUUUUAAAAGUCGAGUGGCAAACGGGUGAGUAACGCGUAGACAACCUGCCUUUGAGAUGGGGACAACAGUUCGAAAGGACUGCUAAUACCGAAUGUUGUAUAUUUUCCACAUGGAAGAUAUAUUAAAGAUGGCCUCUAUUUAUAAGCUAUCGCUCAAAGAUGGGUCUGCGUCUGAUUAGCUAGUCGGUGGGGUAACGGCCUACCAAGGCGACGAUCAGUAGCCGGUCUGAGAGGAUGAGCGGCCACAUUGGGACUGAGACACGGCCCAGACUCCUACGGGAGGUAGCAGUGGGGAAUCUUCCACAAUGGACGAAAGUCUGAUGGAGCAACGCCGCGUGAGUGAAGAAGGGUUUCGGCUCGUAAAGCUCUGUUGUCGGGGACGAAUGUGCAUUACUUGAAUAAAGUAGUGUAAUGACGGUACCUGACGAGGAAGCCACGGCUAACUACGUGCCAGCAGCCGCGGUAA